AGACAGGGAGUGGCUAAGCCCCCUCCCAAGAGGCCUUCUUGUUUCUGCCACUGUUGAGUUGCAGAGUCUGUGGAGCAGGCCUGGGUACAGGGAAGAAUCUGCUGCUGAGCAGCUCAAUUGAAGCCAGUGUUCGACUCCUACAUCUGGACCUAUGGACUGGAAGUUCACUUCCUCUGAAGUAUCCCCUUGCAGGAGAUUAUUGUCUUUCUCAUCCCACAAGUACCCCCUGAGCACCCGUUAAGUGCCAGAUGCCUUCCUGUAUUUGAGGGAAGCACAGCAGCUGAAUGAAGCCAACAGAGACCCUGCUCUCUGGAGACUGAUACUGAAGGGCCGUGAGGGAGCUUCAGGAGGGAAUGUCAUUUUCUGCAUCCUGGCCUUACUUGCAAACGGAAAAAGAAUUGGAUGUAAACACUGACGUGGUGGCUGUAACACCGGUGCAGGAAUGUUUGGCAGAGCUGUACACUGAUGUCUGCAACUGCUUUGAGUGCAUCAAGAAAGGACAUGGCCCAGAGCACUGAGGCACUGUUAGGAGAUGAA